rnacentral:rRNA from 1 species
UACGAAGGGGGCUAGCGUUGUUCGGAUUUACUGGGCGUAAAGCGCACGUAGGCGGACUAUUAAGUCAGGGGUGAAAUCCCGGGGCUCAAUCCCGGAACUGCCUUUGAUACUGGUAGUCUUGAGUUCGAGAGAGGUGAGUGGAAUUCCGAGUGUAGAGGUGAAAUUCGUAGAUAUUCGGAGGAACACCAGUGGCGAAGGCGGCUCACUGGCUCGAUACUGACGCUGAGGUGCGAAAGCGUGGGGAGCAAACAGG